rnacentral:rRNA from 1 species
AGUGAACGCUGGCGGUAGGCCUAACACAUGCAAGUCGAACGGCAGCACAGUAAGAGCUUGCUCUUACGGGUGGCGAGUGGCGGACGGGUGAGGAACACAUCGGAAUCUACUUUUUCGUGGGGGAUAACGUAGGGAAACUUACGCUAAUACCGCAUACGACCUACGGGUGAAAGCAGGGGAUUUUCGGACCUUGCGCGAUUGAAUGAGCCGAUGUGGGAUUAGCUAGUUGGCGGGGUAAAGGCCCACCAAGGCGACGAUCCGUAGCUGGUCUGAGAGGAUGGUCAGCCACACGGGAACUGAGACACGGUCCAGACUCCUGCGGGAGGCAGCAGUGGGGAAUAGUGGGCAAUGGGGGGAAGCCUGAUCCAGCGAUACCGCGUGGGUGGAGGAGGCCUUCGGGGUGUAAAGCCCUUUUGUUGGGAAAGAAAAGCAGCAGGUUAAUACCCCGCUGUUCUGACGGUACCCGAAGAAUAAGCACCGGCUAACUUCGUG